GCCCAGGUGGCGGAAUUGGUAGACGCACUACCUUGAGGUGGUAGCGAUUUAGGUCGUAGGGGUUCGAGUCCCCUCUUGGGCACCA
rnacentral:tRNA from 24 species